rnacentral:rRNA from 1 species
UACGUAGGGUGCAAGUGUUGUCCGGAAUUAUUGGGCGUAAAGAGCUCGUAGGCGGUUUGUCGCGUCGAAUGUGAAAACCCGGGGCUCAACCCCGGGCCUGCAUUCGAUACGGGCAGACUAGAGUUCGGUAGGGGAGUCUGGAAUUCCUGGUGUAGCGGUGAAAUGCGCAGAUAUCAGGAGGAACACCGAUGGCGAAGGCAGGUCUCUGGGCCACUACUGACGCUGAGAAGCGAAAGCAUGGGGAGCGAACAGG